rnacentral:rRNA from 1 species
GAUGAACGCUAGCGGCAGGCCUAAUACAUGCAAGUCGGACGGGAUUGGGGAGCUUGCUCCCCAUGAGAGUGGCGCACGGGUGCGUAACACGUAUGUAACCUACCCUUGUCAGGGGGAUAGCCUCUCGAAAGAGAGAUUAACACCGCAUAACAUUAUUGGAUGGCAUCAUUUAAUAAUCAAAUAUUUAUAGGACAAGGAUGGGCAUGCGGGACAUUAGCUAGUUGGUAGGGUAACGGCUUACCAAGGCUACGAUGUCUAGGGGAUCUGAGAGGAUGGCCCCCCACACUGGUACUGAGACACGGACCAGACUCCUACGGGAGGCAGCAGUAAGGAAUAUUGGUCAAUGGGCGCAAGCCUGAACCAGCCAUGCCGCGUGCAGGAAGACGGCCCUACGGGUUGUAAACUGCUUUUGCGCCGGAAUAAACCCUUUUACGAGUAAGAGGCUGAAUGUACGGCGAGACUAAGGAUCGGCUAACUCCGUGCCAGCAGCCGCGGUAA